UACAGAGGUCUCAAGCGUUGUUCGGAUUCAUUGGGCGUAAAGGGUGCGUAGGCGGCGCGGUAAGUUGGGUGUGAAAUCUCGGAGCUUAACUCCGAAACUGCAUUCGAUACUGCCGUGCUUGAGGACUGGAGAGGAGACUGGAAUUUACGGUGUAGCGGUGAAAUGCGUAGAUAUCGUAAGGAAGACCAGUGGCGAAGGCGAGUCUCUGGACAGCAACUGACGCUGAGGCACGAAGGCCAGGGGAGCAAACGGG
rnacentral:rRNA from 1 species